ACAAGUAGCGGAGCAUGAGGUGUGAUUCGUAGCAACGAGAAGAACCUUACCUAAACAUCACCACCUCAUGUUAACAUCUCCAUCAGAGGGGCUUUCGCGGUGAGUUUGGUGACAGGUGGUGCAUGGUUGUCGUCAGCUCGUGUCGUGAGAUGUUGGGUUAAGUCCCGCAACGAGCGCAACCCUUGUCUUUAGUUGCCAUCAUUAAGUUGGGCACUCUAGAGAGACUGCCAGGGAUAACCUGGAGGAAGGUGGGGAUGACGUCAAAUCAUCAUGCCCCUUAUGCUUAGGGCUACACACGUGCUACAAUGGGUAGUACAGAGGGUUGCCAAGCCGUAAGGUGGAGCUAAUCCCUUAAAGCUACUCUCAGUUCGGAUUGUAGGCUGAAACUCGCCUACAUGAAGCUGGAGUUACUAGUAAUCGCAGAUCAGAAUGCUGCGGUGAAUGCGUUCCCGGGUCUUGUACACACCGCCCGUCACACCACGGGAGUUGGAGACGCCCGAAGCCGAUUAUCUAACCUUUUGGAAGAAGUCGUCGAAGGUGGAAUCAAUAACUGGGGUGAAGUCGUAACAAGGUAGCCGUAUCGGAAGGUGCGGCUGGAUCACCUCCUUUCUAAGGA
rnacentral:rRNA from 1 species